UACGUAGGGGGCAAGCGUUGUCCGGAUUUAUUGGGCGUAAAGCGCGCGCAGGCGGUUCUUAAGGCUGGUGUCUAAGUGCGGGGCUCAAACCCGUGACGCACUGGAAACUGGGGGACUUGAGUGCAGAAGAGGAGAGCGGAAUUCCACGUGUAGCGGUGAAAUGCGUAGAGAUGUGGAGGAACACCAGUGGCGAAGGCGGCUCUCUGGUCUGUAACUGACGCUGAGGCGCGAAAGCGUGGGGAGCAAACAGG
rnacentral:rRNA from 1 species